rnacentral:rRNA from 1 species
UACGUAGGUGGCAAGCGUUGUCCGGAAUUAUUGGGCGUAAAGCGCGCGCAGGCGGUCCUUUAAGUCUGAUGUGAAAGCCCACGGCUCAACCGUGGAGGGUCAUUGGAAACUGGGGGACUUGAGUACAGAAGAGGAAAGUGGAAUUCCACGUGUAGCGGUGAAAUGCGUAGAGAUGUGGAGGAACACCAGUGGCGAAGGCGACUUUCUGGUCUGUAACUGACGCUGAGGCGCGAAAGCGUGGGGAGCAAACAGGAUUAGAUACCCUGGUAGUCCACGCCGUAAACGAUGAGUGCUAAGUGUUAGAGGGUUUCCGCCCUUUAGUGCUGCAGCUAACGCAUUAAGCACUCCGCCUGGGGAGUACGGUCGCAAGACUGAA